GCUAAGGAGAAGGAGGAGCAAUAAAAUGCAGAAUUUUGAAUGAUUCAAUAACUCCGACUAUUCAAGAUGGAUAUCAUUCUUUAUUUCGCUCCUCAUUGAUAUCCUGUUAAGGGAGAAUGGUUAUGAAUCGGGUGGCUUGCUACACUUUCAGGAUGAACCAAAGCUACAAGGGAUAGGAAUGCUUAGCUGCAAUAUCUGGCUUGAGCGUUAGGCCCGAGCCUAGCUACGUUGUGAGUGUGCUUGAGCAUGGUAAAAUUUUGACAAUGUGCUCGAGUACAGCAUAAACACACUCUAGAACAACAAUGCAUAAACAGAAAAAUCUGUUCUCAAGCUUAAUGAUUAGUAAAAUGCCCCUUAGUAGGUAUAAAGUCAACAUUGGUGCAUGCCUAACCUAACCUAACCUAACUUCUUCCCAGAAGACUAAGGAAGCUGAGGAAAAGUGUUUGAGAGAAGACUGAAUGUUUUGGAGGUUCAUUUGAGGCACUUGAGACUUUCUCAGGCUCGUCUUUGUAUCUCAUAUGGAGGAUUCCACCUGUACUUCAUUUUCUUCACUUUUCUUAAUAUCUUUGUGGUUCACUUUCCCAUAACCUGAUGUGAUGUUUAAGAGUGUGUACCAUAAACUAAUAGGAUUUCCUUCAAAUUUAGAAUACCUGAGAGUGAAAAUUAGAUUGUAUGAACAUGCUAGUGAUUGAGAGUUACUACAAGUGACUACUCAUCACCGCUUGCCCUGCUUUGUUCAAUGUCUUUUCAGUCAUUUAAUUGUUUCUCCUCUUUCCUAAAGUUUUGCUCAGGAGACUCUAGAUGUUCUAGAUUGCUAGGUUUUGGAAUUUGGGUACAAAAGAUGCUAUGCUCUUCUGCCUAUUCUUACCAAAGAAUUUGCUUCUAGUUAUAUGUUUAUAGGCAAAGUAUUUAAUGGAACUCUCCAAGAGAGCUCCAUUAGAUGGAGUUGCCCAAUUUAUUUACAAAAAGGUCCCAACACACUAUGAUAUAUUUACACCCCAGGCGGCAACCAGCGGCAAGAUCUUAAAUAGCAGAACAAACUUGAAAAUUGAUCUGAGCACAACUUCUUGGGACAAAACCCUGUUAUCCAGGAUGUUGCAUUCGCUUCCCUCUCUUGGCGUGUAUAGUUAAGCCGAAAUUGAAUGUUAAUCUCCCAAUUUGCUUAUAUAGUCAAUCUCUACAAUCUCUAAUAUACUCCAUUAAUAGUGUGUUAUGUAGUUUGUGAGUUUUAUCAUUGUGUAUGUGUUGCACUCACUGCUACCACUUGGACUGUUAUUGACUAUGUAAUCAUAUCUAGCUUUGUUAAAGUGUAUAAGAACAUAAGGAUCAACUUGCUAUACCAGUGAAUCUCUCUGGAAUUGCUUUCUAA